CACACAGGACACCCACCCAGCCUAUGGUCCUGUCUGUGGUUGGACAACAUAAUCAGAAUAACAGGAUGUAAUGAAGGCCCCUAAUGAGUUGGUAUUAAGCCAUUCAAAAGAGAGAUGAUCUUGGGUGAGUCUGAUCUAAUCACCUGCAUCUGUUAACAGGGUCCAGAUGUCAGGGAUGGAAGUUGGAGAAAGAUGAGGCAGCAGCAGACACUUUCUCCUGUUGGCCUUAAAGAAGCAACCGCCUGUGCUGGGAGAGGGUCACUGGGCUGAGAUUGGUAGGUGGCUCUGGGAGCUGAGGGCCUAAACCUAUGACCACAAGGAACUGAAUUCAUCCCAAAGCCAGAGAGGUGGAAGACGACUCAGAAGAUGCAGAUGCCAAUGCCACAUCCUGGUGAGCAGCUGGAUUGCAGCUGGACCCGCUAAACCAAGCCCCAGACUCCUGACCAGUGGGAGCUGCAAGAUAAUGAAUAUAGUUUUCUUGUUGUUUUUUGUUUUCUUUUUAAUAAGCAAUAUGACUUUAUUUAGUUACUUUGGAAACAAAAACCCCCAAAUAAUGCCUGAACCCAAAGGUACAUAAAAAUGGCCCAAAAUAGUUUAAAAUAGAUUUGAACAUCAUUUGUAGUUUCUUCCUCAUAACAUGAGCGCUUUCAGCUGGACAGUAGAUUACAAAGCAUCUCCGAUCAUGUUAAGGCAGAUCAUCAAUCUGUGGCUGCAUCUGUAACUCCUGCUGGGAAAAUAAUCCUGUUGGAGUUGGGGGCUCUUCCCAGUUGUUUGGCCAGUUGGCCCAGGAAGGGGCAGUCCUGGAGCUGACGGGUGGGUGAGGAGCCAGGCGAACUCCUGACAUUGUGAUCUGCCCUCCUUGGCCUCCCAAAGUGCUGGGAUUACAGGCGUAAGCCACCGCACCCAGCAGAAAAAAAUCUUAAACUUACAAAAACAUAGAGAGAAAUAUAGCAAAUGCUUGUAUUAGUUUUCUAUGGCUGCUGUAACAAAUUACUACCACUUUGGUGACCUAAAACAACCCAAAUUUACUACCGUACAAGUCCUGUAGGUCAGGAGCCCACACGGGGCUCACUGGGCUAAAACUCAGGUGAUGGCAGGACACCUGAGCAUCUGCAGGAUCAUUCAUUCCUUGCCUUUUCCACCUUGAGAGGCCACCUGUGGCAUUCCUGGGCUUGUGGCCCCUUCCUCCAUCUCCGGAGUCAGCACCAGCGGCCACAUCCUUGUCAGGUUGAAUCUCUCUGAACUUCCUUCCAGUGUUACGUCUCUUUCCAAUUCUCAUUUGCAGGUAAAGGUUCUCGGAAGGACCCAAUGAGACUGGGCUCACUGGGAUAAUCCAGGAUCAUCUCCCAUCUCAAGGUUCUUCAUCGCAUACUUGCAAAGCCCCUUUUGCCAUGUCAGGUAACUUGUUCACAGGUUUGAAGAUUAGAAUGUGGGCAUGUUUGGGGGGCAUAAUUAGGCCUAGCACAAUGCCCAUGUACCCAUCUCCUUGCUUAAACAUUAAACACUUUGCCAAUAUUGUUUCUCCUAUCUCUCACUUUGUUCUCUAAAAAACUCCAGGAAUUUGUUAUUAAAUUUUAUUAAAGCAAAUCCCAGAAAUAAUAUAAUUUGCCUGUAAAUAUGUUAAUAUGUUUCUCUGAGGCCUUUAAAAAUCAUAGCCACUAUGGUAUUAUCGUAAUAAAAUUACCUGAAGUUAUUUAAUGUCACCUAACAUUCAGUCCAUGUUUAAGUUUCCCAAU
rnacentral:lncRNA from 1 species